CUCAGGGGAGAUAACGGCGUCUAGCGGCGGACGGGUGAGUAAUGCCUAGGAAAUUGCCCUGAUGUGGGGGAUAACCAUUGGAAACGAUGGCUAAUACCGCAUGAUGCCUACGGGCCAAAGAGGGGGACCUUCGGGCCUCUCGCGUCAGGAUAUGCCUAGGUGGGAUUAGCUAGUUGGUGAGGUAAGGGCUCACCAAGGCGACGAUCCCUAGCUGGUCUGAGAGGAUGAUCAGCCACACUGGAACUGAGACACGGUCCAGACUCCUACGGGAGGCAGCAGUGGGGAAUAUUGCACAAUGGGCGCAAGCCUGAUGCAGCCAUGCCGCGUGUGUGAAGAAGGCCUUCGGGUUGUAAAGCACUUUCAGUCGUGAGGAAGGCGGUGUAGUUAAUAGCUGCAUCAUUUGACGUUAGCGACAGAAGAAGCACCGGCUAACUCCGUGCCAGCAGCCGCGGUAA
rnacentral:rRNA from 1 species